ensembl:snoRNA
AAGCCAGUCAAUGAAUUUGCUUAUUGGAUUGUUUCUGAAAAAAAAGUUGUUUUUUUUUUAACAGGCAAUAUUAAUGCCAUGAUGCCAGCCUUCAUGAUACUGGGGUCAUUAAGGUCCCUGAAAGUGGCUAUAUGA